rnacentral:rRNA from 1 species
GUCUACGGCCAUGCUACACUAAACAAGUCCUAUCCCCUCUGAUCUCAGAAGCUAAGCAGGGUCGGGCUUGGUUAGUACGUGGAUGGGAGACCACCUAGGAAGACCAAGUGAUGUAGGCA